rnacentral:lncRNA from 1 species
ACUCUGUGCCCCACAGCGCCAUCCUUCUGCCCCACAGCACCAAGUGCCCCAUAGCGCUGUCCAUGUGCCCCACAGCAUCAUGUGCCCCAUAGCACUGCCAUGUGCCCCACAGCACCCACCCCACAGUGCCAUCCUUGAGCCCCACAGCGCCAUGUACCCUAUAGCGCUGUCCGUGUGCCCCACAGCGCCCACCCCACAGCACCAAGUGCCCCAUAGCACUGCUAUGUGCCCCACAGCAUCGCAACCCCACAUCAUCAUGUGCCCCAUAGUGCUGCCCGUGUGCCCCAUAGCAUCGCACCCCACAUCACCAUCCUUCUGCCCCACAGCAUCGUGUGCCCCAUAGCGCUGCCACGUGCCCCAUAGCGCUGACCACCUGCCCCACAGCACCCACCCACAGCCCGCCCCACAACAGUACCUGCAAUGCACCCACCCCAUAGCGCCCACCCACAGCACCCACCCACAACACCCACCCCACAGCACCCACCCCACAGCACCCUGCCCACAGCACCCUGCC